CAAGAGAGAGAGAGAGAGAGAGAGAGAGAGAGAGAGAGAGAGAGAGAGAGAGAGAGCCAAAAUGCACUCAAAGAAGAUAAAGGUAUGUAUCCAAGCAGUAAUUACCAACAUCCCCUUUACAUGAAGACAGAACAGAUGCGUCAGGUUGAUCCAACUUCUGCCGUUUUGGAGGUAUAUCUACAGACCCAUGUUCUGCAUCCCCUUCAUCUUCAUCCUCAUCAGCACCCAACUUAACAGGGGCUGCUGCAAGUUUAGAUUUCUGUCUCAAGCUGAAUGCAAG